rnacentral:lncRNA from 1 species
GAGUCUCACAAUUUGCUUAUCAGCGAAUCUGUUUAGGUCAGGAGUAGAUAGCCAUAAGUUUCUAGUUGUUAACUAGUUAUUAAAUGGUCACCUGGCAAAAGUUCUCCACUACUUGGAUCCAAUAUUGCACAUAAAUUUAACUAAUUUCAAGAAUUAUAUAGCUUAGUAAUGUACUUUAAAGUCUACAGAUAUGUUCCACAACCAUUUUUGUAUAAUGGCACACUUCUAUACAAACUUUUAUCAGUUCUACAUCUCCUCUUUCCAAUUUACGUACUUCAGCUUUAUUUCUCCUCCAAAAUCUGGUUUGAAAUGAUUACCAAGUACUUUUCCCAACAUUCUAUCAAUAUAGACUUAUAGAUACAGAUACUUGAACUUAUAGCUAUGAAAUAGACUACAAAAAUUUCACAAAGCAAAAGUUCAUUGGUGUUUAAGAUAGAAAACACAUACAACCAGACUCGCUAUAUAUAUACUAUCACAACAUUACCAUACAUAUGGCUAAACGAAGGAGGUAACAAGACUAAACGAACGAGAUAAGCAGAAACAACUGUUAUAAAUAACAACUUUGAUCCUCAAUAAUUGCUAGCUGCCAACGAUUAAGCCCAAAAAUAUGUAGAUAAGCUUAUUAUAAGACAUACCUUGAAGCCCUUCAGAUCAGAAUCUGUGACAUCUACCACUUCAAUCAUCUCCUUUGUUGAUCAUUCUUUUUGCGUUGCUGGUCAUCGACAUUUUGGCCACAGUUAUAAACAAAAUUUACCCUCAUCAUCCCCAAAUAAGCUGCGCUUGAGCUUUUCCUCAGCCGUUCGUCCACCCUUCCCACUUCUAUCAAACUCAUCAUAAACAAGUAGUUAAAAAUUAUUACUACAAACUGUUUAGGAUCAGGCCAGGCCAUUUUACUAAAUUUCUUAAUAGCAAUCCACCUCCGAUUCUGCAGCCGACCCUUGUAUACCACAUUUGGGGCUUUUUCGCCACUCUCAGAAAUAAUAAACUCCGGGCUGAAAUUGUUGGUGGCAGCUUUCAGUCGACGAAAUUAUGAAUCGGAGUCUCCGAAGCCACGUCCCAGUACUUGACAACGACAUCGUCGACGCCGGAGAGGAGGUGAAGCUUAUCGAAGACUUGAACCAGAUCUGAGUGGGAUCCGGCGGCGAGUAGGCGUUCGUUCGAGCGGAAAGAGGCGGAUGUGGCUGUAUCUUUGAAGGCGGAGAUGGUGGAUUUGGGUGUUAGGCUUGGAGACGGUUGCGGAGUGAGUGGCGGCGAAGUGGUGAGGAGAAGUUGGCGAGAACGAGAGAGAAGUGGAUGGAGAAAGUACAGAGAUAGAGAUAGGAGAGAGAAGAAAU